rnacentral:rRNA from 1 species
AGGCCCUUCGCGGGUACUCGAGUGGCGAACGGGUGAGUAACACGUGGGUGAUCUGCCCUGCACUUUGGGAUAAGCCUGGGAAACUGGGUCUAAUACCGAAUACACCUCCUUGGUUGCAUGAUCUUGGGGGGAAAGCUUUUGCGGUGUGGGAUGGGCCCGCGGCCUAUCAGCUUGUUGGUGGGGUGAUGGCCUACCAAGGCGACGACGGGUAGCCGGCCUGAGAGGGUGUCCGGCCACACUGGGACUGAGAUACGGCCCAGACUCCUACGGGAGGCAGCAGUGGGGAAUAUUGCACAAUGGGCGCAAGCCUGAUGCAGCGACGCCGCGUGGGGGAUGACGGCCUUCGGGUUGUAAACCUCUUUCAGCACAGACGAAGCGCAAGUGACGGUAUGUGCAGAAGAAGCACCGGCCAACUACGUGCCAGCAGCCGCGGUAAUACGUAGGGUGCGAGCGUUGUCCGGAAUUACUGGGCGUAAAGAGCUCGUAGGUGGUUUGUCGCGUUGUUCGUGAAAACCGGGGGCUUAACCCUCGGCGUGCGGGCGAUACGGGCAGACUGGAGUACUGCAGGGGAGACUGGAAUUCCUGGUGUAGCGGUGGAAUGCGCAGAUAUCAGGAGGAACACCGGUGGCGAAGGCGGGUCUCUGGGCAGUAACUGACGCUGAGGAGCGAAAGCGUGGGGAGCGAACAGGAUUAGAUACCUGGUAGUCCACGCCGUAAACGGUGGGUACUAGGUGUGGGUUUCCUUCCUUGGGAUCCGUGCCGUAGCUAACGCAUUAAGUACCCCGCCUGGGGAGUACGGCCGCAAGGCUAAAACUCAAAGGAAUUGACGGGGGCCCGCACAAGCGGCGGAGCAUGUGGAUUAAUUCGAUGCAACGCGAAGAACCUUACCUGGGUUUGACAUGCACAGGACGCCGGCAGAGAUGUCGGUUCCCUUGUGGCCUGUGUGCAGGUGGUGCAUGGCUGUCGUCAGCUCGUGUCGUGAGAUGUUGGGUUAAGUCCCGCAACGAGCGCAACCCUUGUCUCAUGUUGCCAGCACGUCAUGGUGGGGACUCGUGAGAGACUGCCGGGGUCAACUCGGAGGAAGGUGGGGAUGACGUCAAGUCAUCAUGCCCCUUAUGUCCAGGGCUUCACACAUGCUACAAUGGCCGGUACAAAGGGCUGCGAUGCCGUGAGGCUUAGCGAAUCCUUUAAAGCCGGUCUCAGUUCGGAUCGGGGUCUGCAACUCGACCCCGUGAAGUCGGAGUCGCUAGUAAUCGCAGAUCAGCAACGCUGCGGUGAAUACGUUCCCGGGCCUUGUACACACCGCCCGUCACGUCAUGAAAGUCGGUAACACCCGAAGCCGGUGGCCUAACCCCUGUGGGAGGGAG